rnacentral:lncRNA from 1 species
GACCCUCUGAAAGCGUCUUUGAGAACUACCUUAUGCACUUUGAGAACUACUGGUGAAUUAUUUAAUGAUGAGGGAACUUUGAGAAAAAGAACUCUGAAGUUCCUGAAUUUGAAGAUUAUUUUACCUUUAAUGGACAAAAGAGUAAAUAUAAGAGAAUGUGACAGUUUGUGUCUGUAGGUAGUAUUUCCUUUGCAAUUCAGUGGAAUUUGCCAAGUUCAGCAGAACUAGAUAAGAUUGGUACUAACAAGAGCAGCAGAACGCACAGGGGUUUUACUUUGCCCUGUCUGAAGCUCCUUUCUGGGGUAGCUGUUUCACAGAGAACUAGACCUGUCAAGAGUCAUGUGAAUAUGUCAGACUCUGCAUUUCUUAGCUACCUACUGAAAAGAAUGACAGCUUUGGUCAUUCUUUUGAGUGAAUCCUAGUCAAACAAAAUAAAAUGUCAAAAUGCUUCUUAGUUUUGAGACCCCUGGGUUUGGGGUCAUAGCAUGACAUUCCUUAAAACUGACUAUGACCAGGCACGGUGGCUCACGCCUGUAAUCUCAACACUUUGGGAGGCUGAGGCGCGUGGAU